AACGAACGCUGGCGGCAUGCCUAACACAUGCAAGUCGAACGAGACCUUCGGGUCUAGUGGCGCACGGGUGCGUAACGCGUGGGGAUCUACCCUUGGGUUCGGAAUAACAGUUAGAAAUGACUGCUAAUACCGGAUGAUGACGUAAGUCCAAAGAUUUAUCGCCCAAGGAUGAGCCCGCGUAAGAUUAGCUUGUUGGUGGGGUAAUGGCCUACCAAGGCGACGAUCUUUAGCUGGUCUGAGAGGAUGAUCAGCCACACUGGGACUGAGACACGGCCCAGACUCCUACGGGAGGCAGCAGUGGGGAAUAUUGGACAAUGGGCGAAAGCCUGAUUCAGCAAUGCCGCGUGAGUGAAGAAGGCCUUAGGGUUGUAAAGCUCUUUUACCAGGGAUGAUAAUGACAGUACCUGGAGAAUAAGCUCCGGCUAACUCCGUGCCAGCCGCCGCCGUAA
rnacentral:rRNA from 1 species